CCAUGCAUUUUUCAACGUAAAUUGGGCCAUAAAUUAUGUACAUGGACAAUGACAUAAGAAGCCCAUUGCACCUUACUUUCUAUAUGAAGCAUAAGAUUAUAAUUUGGUAGCAGUAACAUGUUUCUUCAUUCCUUCUCCUAUUUAACGUGUUGUUUCACGUUUCUUACCUUAACCUAAUAUUUCUUCAUCUUAAAACACCAAACUCAGCCGCCACUUUUCCUCAACAUCCUGAAAUCAUCAUCCCUUCCGUUCGUUCCAAUCCGCUUUAAAUCCGAUUAUUCUUUGACGGUUCUCAUCGACUCAACGAUCUCUUUAAUCUCUACGUUUUGAAAUCGAUUAAGACCCGUCGACUGUUCGUACUUCAGAGGCGAACCAGAGUUAGAUUGCUUGUCAGGAUCACGUGGAUUUAGCAAGCAGUUUAUGAUUUGAGCUUUGGUCGAUCUCCGUUUCUUCAUUCUCGGAGGUUCUUUAUUUAUUUCAGAAAUAAAGUGUCGAACUAUUUUAAACUCUUAGACCGCAGUAGUAGUUUCAUAUUAUUCAUGUCUUAGUCUUACGUUUAUAUUUUAGACUAUUGUUGUUGGAUUGGUCCAACUAUUACUUAUCGCUUGUGGCAUGAUUACAGUGUUAUGGCAUUUAUAUUAUAUUGCCAUGUUGGAGUUUAUUUGA